rnacentral:rRNA from 1 species
CCUACGGGGGACAGCAGUGAGGAAUAUUGGUCAAUGGACGAGAGUCUGAACCAGCCAAGUAGCGUAAAGGAUGACUGCCCUAUGGGUUGUAAACUUCUUUUAUAUGGGAAUAAAAUGUUCCACGUGUGGGCUUUUGUAUGUACCAUAUGAAUAAGGAUCGGCUAACUCCGUGCCAGCAGCCGCGGUAAUACGGAGGAUCCGAGCGUUAUCCGGAUUUAUUGGGUUUAAAGGGAGCGUAGGUGGAUUGUUAAGUCAGUUGUGAAAGUUUGCGGCUCAACCGUAGAAUUGCAGUUGAAACUGGCAGUCUUGAGUACAGUAGAGGUGGGCGGAAUUCGUGGUGUAGCGGUGAAAUGCUUAGAUAUCACGAAGAACUCCGAUUGCGAAGGCAGCUCACUGGACUGCAACUGACACUGAGGCUCGAAAGUGUGGGUAUCAAACAGGAUUAGAUACCCGUGUAGUC